rnacentral:rRNA from 1 species
UGGGGAAUAGUUGCACAAUGGGGGAAACCCUGACUGCAGCCAUGCCGCGUGUGUGAAGAAGGCCUUCGGGUUGUAAAGCACGUUUCAGUACGGGAGGAAGGUUAGUGUAGUUAACACCUGCACUUAUUUGACGUUACCUACAGAAGAAGCACCGGCUAACUCCGUGCCAGCAGCCGCGGUAAUACGGAGGGUGCGAGCGUUAAUCGGAAUUACUGGGCGUAAAGCGCAUGCAGGCGGCCUCGUUAAGUCAGAUGUGAAAGCCCGGGGCUUAACCUCGGAAUUGCAUUUGAAACUGGCAGGCUAGAGUCUUGUAGAGGGGGGUAGGAAUUUCAGGUGUAGCGGUGAAAUGCGUAGAGAUCUGAAGGAAUACCAGUGGCGAAGGCGGCCCCCUGGACAAAGACUGACGCUCAGAUGCGAAAGCGUGGGGAGCCAAACAGGAUUAGAUACCCCUGGUAG